GAUGAACGCUGGCGGCGUGCCUAAUACAUGCAAGUCGAACGAGGCCUUUGUAUUCGUAUGAAGGUGUCCUAGUGGCGAACGGGUGAGUAACGCGUUGGUGACCUGCCCCGAAGAGGGGGAUAACAGUUCGAAAGAAUUGCUAAUACCCCAUGUUGUCAUUUUGAUUAGAUGCUAAAUGACUAAAGGAGUAAUUCGCUUCGGGAGGGGCCUGCGUCCCAUCAGCUUGUUGGUGAGGUAAUGGCUCACCAAGGCUUAGACGGGUAGGGGACCUGAGAGGGUGACCCCCCACAAUGGAACUGAAACACGGUCCAUACACCUACGGGUGGCAGCAGUAGGGAAUCUUGCUUAAUGGGCGAAAGCCUGAAGCAGCAACGCCGCGUGUGCGAUGAAGGCCUUCGGGUUGUAAAGCACUUUUGAGGGGAAGAGGA
rnacentral:rRNA from 1 species